GCCCAGAUAGCUCAGUCGGUAGAGCAGCGGUUUCGUAAACCGCAGGUCGCAGGUUCAAGUCCUGUUCUGGGCUC
rnacentral:tRNA from 1 species